rnacentral:rRNA from 1 species
UGGGGAAUAUUGCGCAAUGGGCGAAAGCCUGACGCAGCGACGCCGCGUGAGGGAUGAAGGCCUUCGGGUCGUAAACCUCUGUCAGGAGGGAAGAACCGGCACCGUGCUAAUCAGCGGUGCUCUGACGGUACCUCCAAAGGAAGCACCGGCUAACUCCGUGCCAGCAGCCGCGGUAAUACGGAGGGUGCAAGCGUUAAUCGGAAUCACUGGGCGUAAAGCGCGCGUAGGCUGUUUUGUAAGUCAGGGGUGAAAUCCCACCGCUCAACGGUGGAACUGCCUUUGAUACUGCGAGACUUGAGUACGGGAGAGGGUGGCGGAAUUCCAGGUGUAGGGGUGAAAUCCGUAGAUAUCUGGAGGAACACCGGUGGCGAAGGCGGCCACCUGGCCCGUAACUGACGCUGAGGUGCGAAAGCGUGGGUAGCAAACA